GCCGAGCGUGGUGGCGCACGCCUGUAAUCCCAGCUACUCGGGAGGCUGAGGCAGGAGAAUCGCUUGAACCCAGGAGACAGAGGUUGCAGUGAGCCGAGAUCGCACCACUGCACUUCAACCUGGGCGAUAAAGCGAGACUCUGUCUCAA
rfam:Homo sapiens chromosome 14, GRCh38 reference primary assembly.